rnacentral:rRNA from 1 species
AGAGUUUGAUCCUGGCUCAGGAUGAACGCUAGCGACAGGCCUAACACAUGCAAGUCGAGGGGCAGCGGGGAGGUAGCAAUACCUUUGCCGGCGACCGGCGCACGGGUGAGUAACACGUAUGCAAUCCACCUGUAACAGGGGGAUAACCCGGAGAAAUCCGGACUAAUACCCCAUAAUAUGGGCGCUCCGCAUGGAGAGUUCAUUAAAGAGAGCAAUUUUGGUUACAGACGAGCAUGCGCUCCAUUAGCCAGUUGGCGGGGUAACGGCCCACCAAAGCGACGAUGGAUAGGGGUUCUGAGAGGAAGGUCCCCCACAUUGGAACUGAGACACGGUCCAAACUCCUACGGGAGGCAGCAGUGAGGAAUAUUGGUCAAUGGUCGGCAGACUGAACCAGCCAAGUCGCGUGAGGGAAGACGGCCCUACGGGUUGUAAACCUCUUUUGUCGGAGAGUGAAGUACGCUACGUGUAGCGUAUUGCAAGUAUCCGAAGAAAAAGCAUCGGCUAACUCCGUGCCAGCAGCCGCGGUAAUACGGAGGAUGCGAGCGUUAUCCGGAUUUAUUGGGUUUAAAGGGUGCGUAGGCGGCACGCCAAGUCAGCGGUGAAAUUUCCGGGCUCAACCCGGAGUGUGCCGUUGAAACUGGCGAGCUAGAGUACACAAGAGGCAGGCGGAAUGCGUGGUGUAGCGGUGAAAUGCAUAGAUAUCACGCAGAACCCCGAUUGCGAAGGCAGCCUGCUAGGGUGAAACAGACGCUGAGGCACGAAAGCGUGGGUAUCGAACAGGAUUAGAUACCCUGGUAGUCCACACUGUAAACGAUGAUUGCUAGGUGUGGGGGGUCUGACCCCUUCGGUGCCGGAGUUAACGCAAUAAGCAAUCCACCUGGGGGAGUACGGCCGCAAGGUUGAAACUCAAAGGAAUUGACGGGGGCCCGCACAAGGCAGUGGAUUAUGUGGUUUAAUUCGACGCAACGCGAAGAACCUUACCAGGUCU